AAUCCAGAACCCAUCACUAUCUAUUUCUAUCUCGUACCUUCUAAACCCCAAAACCCCUUAAACCUUUCUCUCUCCUCGUGAGACCCCAAACCCCAAAACCGACAUUGAAACCGUGAAACCCCAUCAAUUCUCUCUCCUUCGCCUGUUGUGCCUCCCUCGCCGGAGUUUCCUAUUUGUCACCGGAGGCUCGCCUCUCCUCGUCGGUGUUGUCGUGGGCAGCAUUGUCUCUCUCUUUCUCUCCUUUGUGAUGUUGUUGUUGUGUCGUUGCUGCUACCCAUGUUUCCCCCUCCUGCUCAGCUCUCACGUCGCCUGCGCGCGCCACCUGCACCCUUUCCGGUGCCUCGCAGCAUCGCCGUAGCUUGCCUCCCCUGCUGGAUGUCACUCGCUAGUGCUCAAUUGCGCCGAAGCUUCGAAACUCCCUUAGCCCUCUGUGUUCGUGGCUUUGUUCUUCGCUACUCUUGUGAGCAGAGGUACUAAACCCUUGUCCCUUUGUCCUUGUAAUUGUUGUUUCAAUUUUGAUGAAAUUUACAAAUGGAUUGUGGUUAUAGUUGAUAAUGUUGAAUUUAUUAUUAGUAGUGAACUCAAAUUCCAAUUUUGAUGGUGUUGUGUUGAUUAAUUGGAUGAACGUGAGUGGAUAGAUUCUUGGUAGAUUAUUGUUAUUGUUGCUGCGUUAUAUUGUUGUUGUUGCCAUGUUGGAUGUUGUUGUUGUUGUUGGAUGUUGUUGUUGGCUUCGUUGUUGUAUUGGUGGCUGUUUACAACUAUAUCUUUGGUGAUAGUUUAUAUGAGGCUUUUUUGAGUGAAAAUAUGAAGCAUCUUUCUUUCUUUCUUUCUCUCUAAAUUCUUUCCUCAACCUCCUUUUCUUUUCUCUUAGUUUAAACAUGCAUCAAUGACUUACUCCCCUACCUCCCCUAUCUCCAUAUAUUUGGUUUUUCUAAUAUUUUUUGUUCGCUAAUAUAUGCUAUAAGAAUCAAGCUCUCUUGCAUUGCAAGCUUGUUGAUUUGAUUUGAUUUCAUUGUUUCCUUUAGCAAGCAUUCGCCAAUGGGACACAAUUUUGUUGAAACAAUUAGGUGGAAUUAAACUCUUGUGUUGAAUAGGUAGGUUGAAUUGUAAAUAGCUUUUAUAGCCACCUGUUUCAAGCAUGUUUUAGUUCUUUUGUAUUAUACCUACUGACUUUCUUCCACCAUUUCCUGGUGUGACUCAUAAGAGAACGCUUGGACUUCUUCGUUUUUGUAAAUUAGUAUUAAGAUGCUUUUCCUCCACUCUUCGGGUAUUAUGUUUGUCCUCCAAAUCUUGCUGAGUAAGUUUGUUAACCAAUCAAUCCCAAUCUUCCCUUAGGCAUCUACAAACUUUUGUGAUUCAAUCUUCCACAUUUUUUCGAUCACCCUUCAUCUAUUUGAGGCUGAAAUGAUCAUGAAUGAUAGAAAAAAGACCUUUUGCAUUUCUUAUAGGGGGCAUAAUGACAUUGUUGUUUAAAAUUCUUAUAUUUCUAAAAUUUAAAUUGGAUGUUUUUUGCUUGUGUGCUCCUAGUUCAUAGCAAAGUAGUGGGUGCAUGAUGAUUCUCGAAUGAUUUAAGGGUAGAAUCUUUAAAGACAAGGACAUCUGUGAAAAAAAAGGGUUCAAGAAUAUUUAUCUUUUAAUUGAAAUAAAACUUGUUAAGUGGAAAAUUUUCAUAGUGUUAGCACAUAAAUGUGAUGGUUGUACUAAGGCAAGGUGCAUAUUAGUAUACACAACUCUUAACUCUAAACUUGGUAUUUGGACGAUAUAUGUUUUUACAUAACUCAUCCUGAAAUAGUUGAGUGUAAAUGUGUUUAGCAGCUUGAAGUAGUGCCACCUAGACUAGGAAGUACUUCAUUGUGUUGAACUCUUAAUUUCUUGAUCAGCAUUAUAUUAUGCUUACAAUUAUAAACAUUAUGAUAAUGCUUAGAAUUAUAAACAUUAUGAUCGAAUUGUUCUACCUCUUCUCAUAUAUGUUUUGCCUUUAAUUCAUUUUCCCUGUUCUGCUGCUGGAAAAUUUGUCAUCAUGCGCACUCAUCUUUUGCAAGCAAUCUCAUUCAGUGAAUUUUGUAUCCAAAAAAAAAAUAAGGGGAGGAUAAGGAUCAAGAGAAUCAAAAUGACGAAUUGGAGUAGCAACACAUGACAUCGAGGCCGCUAGGAAAAUGGAUGCAUAUGGCGAAAUUAUAUGACUAUUAGAUCUAGUUUUACAUUACCAUAUGAAUACAUUCUUGUUGGAUAAUUUUGAUUUUAGAUUAAACAUGUAUUACUUUUUAUUAGUUUAUUAUCUAUGGAAGUAGCAGUAAUAGGUGUACAAAAUUCUAUAAUUAUUAUAGUAUAAUUGUCAAUUCAUAUAUUAAUUUUAA